rnacentral:tRNA from 1 species
UCUAAGGAUGAGUGAAAGUAAAAUUUCAUUCUAAAUAAUAUACAUCGGUAAUGUUGACCGUCCUCAUUUCUCUUCUUAAAGUAAUGUUUCCUUCUUGUAGGGCCGGUAGCUCAGUUGGUUAGAGCACACCCUUGAUAAGGGUGGGGUCGAAAGUUCGAGUCUUUCUCGGCCCACCAUACUUAACUGGGGGAUUAGCUCAGCUGGGAGAGCGCCUGAUUUGCAUUCAGGAGGUCAGCGGUUCGAUCCCGCUAUCCUCCACCAGGAAACAUUUAGUUAUGAAAACUGUAAAUAAAUUUAAUAAUUAAUAUCAAUAUCUAUAUCCGAACAUUAGUAAUGUUAUUAGCUAAUGUUCAAAAUAAAAAUUUGAUUCAACACAGAAUUUUUUUCUG